rnacentral:misc_RNA from 1 species
GUGAAUUGUGUUAAAAAAUUUGCAAAAUGACUCAAAUCAAAAUAAAAUGAAGAAUAUAACUACAUAUUAUAAUAAUCUUGUAUAUCUAACAAUUUAUAGUGAAAAAAAAAGGUAAAAAUGAGAAAUUAUUCAGUGCACCUGAUGCACUAGAAAAUAGUGCACCUUGCCCUGGUCAACACAUGGGGCCUGCUUGAAAAUGUGAAGCUGGAUUCUGCAUGAGA